GAACACAAACACUACAGCAACAUCACUACAAACUAAACCAACAGAGCAAAGUCCCUUACAGGAUCAGUGACGUGUUGUGGACUGUAAGCCUGUUGAACAGAAGCAGAGACGUGUGGACAGACACUGACUGUACUGAUGAUGAUCAUCUGCUGCUGCACAGGCUGUAAAGUAUAACCCCUGCUGGACACGGCUCCGGAAGCUCCAGGGGGAGACCGAACUGGUAUCCCCCCUUCUUCAGGCGCGCCUCACACUCACUCACCAUUCACACAUAUCGCAGAGUUCUGGCUGGGACCGAUACCAGCAACCCCUGAAGCCGUGGGGCAGUGCUCUUACCACAGAGCCACAGAUCUCCAUGUCUGAACACCUGCUGGAACUGAUGUUGGACUGCUGACCUGUGAAUUCACAAUAAAGAAUUGAAUAAAAAUAAA